rnacentral:rRNA from 1 species
GGACUACACGGGUAUCUAAUCCUGUUUGCUCCCCACGCUUUCGCGUCUCAGCGUCAGCAACGAUCCAGAGGGCCGCCUUCGCCGCCGGUGUUCCUCCUGAUAUCUACGCAUUUCACCGCUACACCAGGAAUUCCACCCUCCUCUAUCGCGCUCCAGCCGGUUAGUUUCCGACGCACUUCCGGAGCUGAGCCCCGGGCUUUCACAUCAGACUUAGCCGACCGCCUACACGCCCUUUACGCCCAGUCAAUCCGAACAACGCUUGCACCCUCCGUCUUACCGCGGCGGCUGGCAC